AGCAGCCGCGGUAAUUCCAGCUCCAAUAGCGUAUAUUAAAGUUGUUGCAGUUAAAAAGCUCGUAGUUGAAUUUCGGGAUCGAAUUGUUGGUCGUGCUUCGGUACGUACUGGCAUUAUUGGUUCCUACCUUCUGAAGAACCGCGAUGUCAUUAAUUUGGUGUCGUGGGGAAUCAGGACUGUUACUUUGAAAAAAUUAGAGUGUUUAAAGCAGGCGCACGCUUGAAUACAUUAGCAUGGAAUAAUGAAAUAGGACGUUUGAUUCUAUUUUGUUGGUUUCUAGGAUUGACGUAAUGAUUAAUAGGGAUAGUUGGGGGCAUUAGUAUUCAAUUGUCAGAGGUGAAAUUCUUGGAUUUAUUGAAGACUAACUACUGCGAAAGCAUUUGCCAAGGAUGUUUUCAUUAAUCAAGAACGAAAGUUAGGGGAUCGAAGACGAUCAGAUACCGUCGUAGUCUUAACCAUAAACUAUGCCGACUAGGGAUCGGAUGAUGUUAAUUUUUUAAUGACUCA
rnacentral:rRNA from 1 species